AUGCGUAAAUAUUUUAAAAAAAUCAAUUGUACACCCCUGGUGUUCCUAUUUAUUGAAAAACCGUGAUAAACAAAUUGUGCAGCAAACAAAGAUUGGUAUAUACCAAGGAGCUAUAUAAUAAUCUAUUAUGUAUGUCCUUGGCAUUUCCUCCUUAAAACACUAAACAAUCAACUAGAACCUACAAUGUAAAAAUUUAGAACAGCCAACUGCUGCUACCUUCUCAAUUAUAAUUUUCACUGGCAUCAGCAAUGAUUUCUCCAUGUUGCAUACUGUACUUAGAUUUCACAAGGGCCAGGCAGCAUUUUUGUUUUAUUUUCCUUUGUGAGCAUUUAAAGUCAAAGUAAUUUCAAAUUACCAUAAUUGAGGAAUAAAUGCAAGGUAGGUCAGCGAUAAUUAUGUCACCCACCAAAACAUAUUAUUUAAUACCAUUGAUAUAACACUUUGAUAAUUUUACACUUGUAAGUAUAUAUUUUUUAAGUACCAAAAUACUAGGAUUAAAUUAAUUUGUAUAUUCCUAACUACUGUUUAAACGUCAUUUUAGUUAGCGACUGUCACGUCACCCACCGUACUCAAGGUAGCGACUAUCACGUCACCCACCGUACUCAAGAAGAGAAUAGAUAUCACGGUACCUGAACCACGUGACUUUUUCGGCUAUGUGUGGGACAAUCGGAUGUAAACAAAACGUCGCUUCAGACUUGAAAAGGAUUAGUCGAAAGAUCUGUAACGCUUUUAAGGUUCGAAGCUGUGUAAGAACUACAUGAACACCAUCAAACCACACGGAAGGUGAUAUGUGGCAAGUUAAAAAUCAAAACCACGGUGACAGAGACAGGGACCCCGCUUCAUUCUGUGAUGUUUAUGGAAAGCUAUUUCAACUAACUACGCAAACAUACCAUUUAACAUGUAUUUUUGCAUAAGCAAAACAAAGUGUGUGUAUUGAUAUGUGUGUAUAUUUAUCGGUUUUGUAUCUAUGUUAUUACUAAAAUUGAUUAGAUGAAUAUAAAAUCUGAUAAUGUGUGUUAAUAAAACAGGUGUUUCAUAACAAAUAAUUUAAAUCCAAUGAUGCGUGUUUGUGGUCUAUUCCAAUAUCAUCUCCAUUUGAACAUCUUCGAAUCCAAUAAUGCUUGUUUGUGGUCUAUUCCAAUAUAAUCUCCAUGAAUAUCUUCAGUAUAUCAAAAUAAACACGUCAUUAAUAAUACCAUUACUUUAUAACUAGCAUGCACAUGUAACAAUAGAAAUUAAAGCGCCAAAUACAUAAAGAAGUACAUUAGUAUUCACAAAGAAAUUGUAAUCAGUCAAUUUAUGAAUUUGCAAAUCUUGCUAUUCAAACAUAUGAAUGCUUCAAUUAAGUCAUAACAAAUGAUCAUCGCCAAAACGUCUUGACUUGUGGGGGUCAUUAUGCCAACAAACAUAUUGAAUUGCAUCAAUACUUAAUUUACUCAAAUUCAAAUGAAAGCUGAAUAACUGACAAUAGUUUGAGAUGUUUAAUGAAAAUACCCAUUCGCCCCGGUCAUGAAAGGGCGCUGCAAGAUCUUGUUACCACUGCACCAAGUAAUUAACAUUAAAUCAUAUAAUGUUGUUCAAUUUGUUGAAAUGUCAAAUUUUUAUGUAAUGUUUACUUUGAUUGUUUUCUUUCCCUGCAAUACUUGCACCAUCUGGUAAUAAAUCAAACAGUCAUUUAAACUUUGGAACAUUUACUAUACAUGUUUGUAUAUGACAACUUUUCAUUGAUCAAGAUAUCAGUACGUCUCUUGAA